UUAAAUACGCUGGGGAGCUUGUAUGGCAGGCUGAGAAAAAGUAACCAAACUUUGACCCAAUACCUGAUUUGGAUAAUGCCAACGUAGGAAAUUAAUCUAUAGUGAUU
rnacentral:ncRNA from 2 species